rnacentral:rRNA from 1 species
CACGGGGGUUGCGAGCGUUGUCCGGAAUUACUAGGCGUAAAGGGCAGGCAGGCGGAUCCAUAAGUUUAUCGUUUAAGGCGUCGGCUUAACCGGCGUAGGGCGGUAGAUACUGUGGAUCUGGAAUGCGGUUGGGGAAGACAGAAUUCCUGGUGUAGCAGUGGAAUGCGCAGAGAUCAGGAGGAAUACCGAAGGCGAAGGCAGUCUUCCAAGCCGUUAUUGACGCUCAACUGCGAAGGUGUGGGUAUCAAACAGGAUUAGAUACCCCCGUAGUCCCUGA